rnacentral:rRNA from 1 species
UACGGGGGGGGGCAAGCGUUGUUCGGAAUUACUGGGCGUAAAGGGCUCGUAGGCGGCCAACUAAGUCAGACGUGAAAUCCCUCGGACUUAACCGGGGGAACUGCAUCUGAUACUGGAUGGCUUGAGUUCGGGAGAGGGAUGCGGAAUUCCAGGUGGAGCGGUGAAAUGCGUAGAGAUCUGGAGGAACACCAAAGGCGAAGGCAGCAUUCUGGCAAGUACCUGACGCUCAGGGGCGAAAGCUAGGGGAGCGAACGGG